rnacentral:rRNA from 1 species
GACGAACGCUGGCGGCGUGCUUAACACAUGCAAGUCGAACGGAAAGGCCCUGCUUUUGUGGGGUGCUCGAGUGGCGAACGGGUGAGUAACACGUGAGUAACCUGCCCUUGACUUUGGGAUAACUUCAGGAAACUGGGGCUAAUACCGGAUAGGAGCUCCUGCUGCAUGGUGGGGGUUGGAAAGUUUCGGCGGUUGGGGAUGGACUCGCGGCUUAUCAGCUUGUUGGUGGGGUAGUGGCUUACCAAGGCUUUGACGGGUAGCCGGCCUGAGAGGGUGACCGGCCACAUUGGGACCGAGAUACGGCCCAGACUCCUACGGGAGGCAGCAGUGGGGAAUAUUGCACAAUGGGCGGAAGCCUGAUGCAGCAACGCCGCGUGCGGGAUGACGGCCUUCGGGUUGUAAACCGCUUUCGCCUGUGACGAAGCGUGAGUGACGGUAAUGGGUAAAGAAGCACCGGCUAACUACGUGC